GACAGAGGGUGCAAACGUUGCUCGGAAUUACUGGGCGUAAAGCGCGUGUAGGCGGGCCGGAAAGUCGGGCGUGAAAUCCCUGGGCUCAACCCAGGAACUGCACUCGAAACUUCCGGUCUAGAGUGGUGGAGAGGGAAGUGGAAUUCCUGGUGUAGAGGUGAAAUGCGUAGAUAUCGGGAGGAACACCUGUGGCGAAAGCGGCUCACUGGACCACAACUGACGCUGAGGCGCGAAAGCUAGGGGAGCAAACAGG
rnacentral:rRNA from 1 species